AGAGUUUGAUCCUGGCUCAGAACGAACGCUGGCGGCAGGCUUAACACAUGCAAGUCGAACGGUAACAGGCCGCAAGGUGCUGACGAGUGGCGAACGGGUGAGUAAUGCAUCGGAACGUGCCCAGUCGUGGGGGAUAACGCAGCGAAAGCUGUGCUAAUACCGCAUACGAUCUAUGGAUGAAAGCGGGGGAUCGCAAGACCUCGCGCGAUUGGAGCGGCCGAUAUCAGAUUAGGUAGUUGGUAGGGUAAAGGCCUACCAAGCCAACGAUCUGUAGCUGGUCUGAGAGGACGACCAGCCACACUGGAACUGAAACACGGUCCAUACACCUACGGGUGGCAGCAGGAGGGAAUAUUGGUUAAUGUGCGAAAGCGCGAACCAGCAACGCCGCGUGUACGAUGAAGGCCUUCGGGUUGUAAAGUAC
rnacentral:rRNA from 1 species